rnacentral:lncRNA from 1 species
ACCGGCAGUUUAUGAUAAUUGAUUUCUAUGUUCUCUGCCUCCUCUCCUCUCCUCUCUCUCUCUACCCCCCCCCAUCAGCAGGAGGGUCCCCCUACAUGACCCUGGUCCUGCUCAAGGUUACUUCCUGUUAAAGGGGAGUUUUUCCUGCCACUGUUGCUUGUUGAGGGUCAGGCCCUGGGAUUCUGGAAAGCGCCUAGAAACAAUUCUGAUUGUAAGAGACGCGAUUGAUCGAUUGAUUGAUCGAUACUUCAGCUAAGGGACAGAACCCUCCAACUUAAUGCCAACUUUAUCUUAAGUUGGCAUUUUUUUCUUUGAUCUUAAGUUGUCAUUGCUGUCUUUGAUCUUAAGUUGGCCUUUUAGUCUUUGAUGUCCUUUGUAUCAAACACAUCAACUCUAUCUCUUUCAGCACAGCCUGAGGAGCUCAACACUCUUGUAGCACACUGGUGACCAGCAGACGUAUCGAUGGCACAGAGAGGAACCCAGCAGCUGAAGGCAGAGCAAGAACAACUGGAAUCAUCAAUGGAAACUUGGAGGGAAGAGGUCCAGCAGCUCAAAGAAGCCCUGGCGGAGAAGGAGGAGCAGCUCAGCAGGGUAGUGAAGAGGCGAAGGAUGAGGACUGUGGCCCAUGUAGAGACCCUGACCCAGCUGAACAGCACACAAGCUGCUCUGAAGGAGAGCAGCCUCAAAUGUGCUUCCCUGGAGGAAACCCUCCAGACCCAGCAGCAGGAGAUAGAGGAGAGAUGCAGCAGAGAGCUGACGGAGCAGGAGGAAGGUCUGAGGCACAAGCUCCUUGGGAUCGAGGAGGAAUUUAAGGGGAAGCUGGAGAAAGAGAAACAAAGUUUUGAUGAAAAGAAAGAGGCCUUGAGGCAGCAGCUCUUUUUACAAGAAGAAAAGUUUAAGAAGCUACUUGAUGAAGAGCAACUCAAAUAUGCUGAGAAGGUCAUGGAACUAGAAGAGUCAACGAAGCAGCAGCUGUUGACUAAAGAUGAGACCUUUAACAAGAUGCUGGCUGAUGUUUGUCAGCGGUGGGACAGCACAGCUCAGAAAUGGGCACAGAUGAACGAAGAGCUGCAGCACAAGUUCCUGGAGAGCCAACGUUUGAGGCAGCACGAGGAGGAGAAGAACAAAGAGGAGAUCCAGAGGCUCUCUGAAGCAAUCCUCCGACUUGAGCUUCAAGUAUCAAAGAAGAAGAAGAAGAAGAAGAAGAAGAAGAAAUGCUUCUGGAGAUGGAAGUUCUGGAAAAAGAUGAAGUAAACAAUUCCAGAGCUCCCAAAGCCCUCCUCCUCCUCCUCCUCCUCCUCCUCCUCCUCCUCCUCCUCCUCCUCUACAUCCUGACCUCCACAGCGUCACAUCCUGUCUUCAUCAGUUUUAUUUUACAGUAUCAUCAUUGUUUAUGUUCUAUGUUUGGAUCUAUGAUGUAGAAACAAUAAAACUCAAAGUCAACCACC